UUAUUCACAUGUAUCAAUUCUUGCAGGG
rnacentral:piRNA from 1 species